rnacentral:lncRNA from 1 species
AUAAUAAAGUAAAAAGAAAUGGGACCGAAAUGCUAAUAUACAUAAGUAUCAAAGCCAAAUUAAAAAGAAAAGAAAUAAAUGAGGCAUGAUUGAAUGUUUGCGCAAAUAGGAAGGACCUAAUGCAAAAUUUCCCCAUUUUUAAUUAAAAGGCUCGUAUUAAGCCUGUUAAAUGGGUUAAAGUGCAGGCCUUCUUUUUUUAAAAAAAAAAAACUUAAAACCCCCUUUUUUUAUUUUGUGUUUUCAGCCCCCAUUUUGAAAAGCAAAAACAGAGAGUUUCUUGGCUCUCUGUUCUCAUUUCCCCUUUGGUUAGGAUUUAUACCCAUCAUUGCCGCCGCCAUGGAGCCACCGUAGAUGGUGGUAAGGGUUGCGCGAAUGGGUCUUUUGACCCCGAUUUUAGGGCGCUCGAAGGCCCUAUUUUCCUAGCUCAAAAAUAUGAAAGGAGAGACCCCCAUUUUCCUUUUUGAGAGCUGAUUUCAACGAUGGAGUAGGGCUCUGAUGUCGCGGCUCCGAGGUUCGGGUAAGUCCCCUUUCUUCCUUUUUUAUUUUUUUCGUUUUAAAACUGAUUUUUUGAACAAAGAAGGAAAAAAAAUAAGAAAUGAAAAAAAUGAAAUAAAACUCAACCUCCGUUUUCUUUGAUUCCUUAAAUCGUGUAUAAUACAAUCGCCCCUCCCUUUUCUUUUCUUCUCUUUUUUAUUUCUUGUUCUUGAAGCUUAAAAGCAAAAUCAAAAAUGAAAGAAAAGAAAAAAAAGAAAUCAAAAAUUGAAAAAAACGUAACCUUUUUCUCUUUUUUUUUUGCUCUUUUAUUUCUGAAAUAUAUAUGUAAUACAAUGCUCUUUAGUGUUCAAAAAAAACCCCUCCUUAUAUUGAGAUUGUGGCUUUAUAUAACCUUUUACAACUUGUUCUUCUUUUUUUUUAAUUUAUUUGCCUUUUCCAUUGCAAGCAAGUGGAGCAAAUGAGGGUGGGUGGCCAACUAUGGAGUGGGUUAUGGUGGCAGACAGUAGGGCGGCACACCUAGAAUUUUUUUUCUUUGGGGGGUAUUGGGCUAGGGUUAGGUAUUAAGUUGGGCCAAAAUUGGGCUUCAACAUCUACUUUUUAUGAUAUUAUGCUUAGAACUAUCCAUAGCCCCUCCCUAACCCAUAAAUAGGAUGAUAAUGCGCUUUAGUACACUCAAAUCCACGUCUUCCUGCAUUAAUAACAAAGGACACGUCAAUCGAAUUAAGACUCAAUUGAAAAAUUAAAUAUUAAUUUAAUUACAUUGAAUUUGAUCUGAAAAUCAAAGGUAUACUUAAUUCUAACUCGACUUGAUAUGUCACGGUUUUUAAUUUAUAUAUUUUUUAUCAAAAUAGAAUAAUAAAAUUUUUUAUUAUUUUUUAUUUUGAACCCCAUCUCCACCAUGUCUGAAACUGAAUUUCUUGUCUCUAGUUUGCUUUUUUCUUUUUUUUUGUUUGCAAAAAUUGGGACAAGAUUGAGGGGACUUGUUGGAUUUAACAUAAUUCUUAAUAGUCUUCCGAAAAUAUGAAAAAUUUUAAUUCGAGAGGCCAUGGGCGAUAAGGGAAGACAAGAAGAUUAACUCGAAAAGUGAAAGAUUUUAUGUAAAAAUAUAGGUCUAAAAAAUAAGUUUGGGUAAAAAAAUAAAGUUCGUUUAGAAAAAGGGUCAAGUUUCAGGUAAAGUUUUCUUCCCGGCCCGAAUUUGCAAAAAAAAAAAAACCUUGCUAUUUUGCUGUUGUUUUAUAUUGUUUUCUUGUCAUUUCACUAUUAUGUUGCUAUUAUUUUCUUGUUAUUGUUUUAUUGUUAAUUUAUUACUAUUUUAGAGACAUUUGUUUGUUAAGUUACACAUUUAAAUUUUUUUAAUUUAUUUCAAUUUGUUGGGAAAUAUUUAUUUUAAAGUUUUUAAUAUUUUUGAUGUAUUAUAUUUAUUUCUUUUAAAUAAAAAUUUUUAUAUUUAUAUUUAAAUAUUUAUUUUAAAGUUUAGCAUCUAUAAUUCAAGGUGGGAUUAGACAAAAACUUGAAUUCGUUUUUCAAACUAGGUUGGGCCUAAACCUAUCAAACAGGACUAUUUUGUUAGGGCAUGACCUGAACCAUGGACAAGUCUAGUUUAACCUUUAAAAUGGAAUCUUUUUCAUUUAAUUUCUUUAAAAAAUAUAAAAUUUAAGUUAACUCAAUAAAUAAAAUUAUAAUUUGAUAGUCUUAAAAUUUAAAAUUCAAUUUUAUUCCUUAAAAAUAAAAUUACAGUUCAAUCUUUGGAAAAUUUGUAAAACUUCAUAUGCAUCAGUGAUAAAUUACGUUCAAACAUUGCCCCUCCAAAAAUAAUUUCAACACAUAUAUCAGUACAAUGAACACACCUCUUCUUCUCCGAACCUGCAUUUGUUGUCCCUUGUUUGUCUUGUUUUUUUGUUUGCAAAAUUUGGAACAAUUUUGUCAGCUCAUAUGAAUACAUCCCCCCAAUUCUAAACUUAGCUUUAGAUGAGGCUUCGUUUUGUUUCAAGAUCGAGCUUCGUCGAGACCUUGCAAUAAUGGAGAUUGAGGUUGGACCGAUGAUGCUAAUGGAGAUUGAGGUUGGACCGAUGAUGCUAAGUUUCGAAUCUCAAAUUUAUUAAAUAUCAUAUCUGCAAUUUCUUUUUAUCUUUAAAUAGUAAAAAAAACGUGUUCAAGCACGUUCGAGUCUACGGCUUCUUGAUUGUUGCAAUAGAUAAGAGCAAAGUCGAAAUUUUUAUUUACGGAUCGAAUUAAAAUUAUAAAUUUUCUGAGGGGCUAAAGUUGGAAAGUUAUCAUUAAAAUGCUUAAAUUACAAUGCUUAUAUUUUUAGAGGUG